GCGCCCGUAGCUCAGUUGGAUAGAGCAACGGCCUUCUAAGCCGUAGGUCGCAGGUUCGAGCCCUGCCGGGCGUG
rnacentral:tRNA from 1 species